UUGGAAAGAACCUUUCUUCUUCAAUUUUCUAUUGUAGAACUAGUAAGAGGAGCUCUCUUUGAUGCCUAGGAACUAGCAAGCAAAAGCCCUUAAAGAUCCCUUCCAAAGAGGCAAGAGAUUGGGGGCUAAGGCAUGUGAGAUUUGGGAUGUCCAACUCUUGGAUGCCCCCUCCUUUCUUUUUGGCGACUUGGAGAAGGGAAGAACGCCUUGAUUUCUCAUGAAAGAGAGCAAGGCGAGUGUGGCACAUCUUGGGGCAUAGGUUAUUCAUGGUAGAGAGGAGAGGGGGCAUGGAGAAACUUAAAUACAUGGGAUUUAAGAGUUGGUAAAGUCCUAUUCCAAAUAGGAUUUAUGAAUCUUGUUCCAACUCUAACUAAUUCUUGGAUCUAAUCUUAACUAACUUAGAAAUUAGUUAUAACAAAC
rnacentral:lncRNA from 1 species